rnacentral:tRNA from 1 species
GGAGGUGUGGCAGAGUGGUUGAAUGCACCGGUCUUGAAAACCGGCGAAGGAGUAAUCCUUCCGUGAGUUCGAAUCUCACCGCCUCCG